rnacentral:rRNA from 1 species
GCACUGAGAGACGGGCCCUACUCCUACGGGAGGCAGCAGUGGGGGAUUUUGGACAAUGGGCGAAAGCCUGAUCCAGCGACGCCGCGUGGAGGACGAAGCCCUUCGGGGUGUAAACUCCUUUUCUCAGGGAAAAAGGAUGAUGGUACCUGAGGAAUAAGCCCCGGCUAACUACGUGCCAGCAGCCGCGGUAAUACGUAGGGGGCGAGCGUUACCCGGAAUUACUGGGCGUAAAGGGUGCGUAGGCGGUCUUACAAGUCUGGCGUUAAAGGCCCUGGCUCAACUAGGGAGAUGCGCUGGAAACUGUAAGGCUUGGGUACAGCAGAGGCAGAUGGAACUGCUGGUGUAGGGGUGAAAUCCGUAGAUAUCAGCAGGAACGCCGGUGGAGAAGUCGGUCUGCUGGGCUGUAACCGACGCUGAGGCACGAAAGCUAGGGGAGCGAACCGGAUUAGAUACCCGGGUAGUCCUAGCCGUAAACGAUGCUCACUUGGUGUGGGGGCAUAGAGCCUCUGUGCUGAAGCGAACGCGUUAAGUGAGCCGCCUGGGGAGUAUGCCCGCAAGGGUGAAACUCAAAGGAAUUGACGGGGGCCCGCACAAGCAGUGGAGCGUGUGGUUUAAUUGGACGCUAAGCCAAGAACCUUACCAGGGAUUGACAUGCUGGUGGUACUGACUCGAAAGAGGAGGGACUCUAUCGAAAGGUAGGGAGCCAGCACAGGUGGUGCACGGUCGUCGUCAGCUCGUGCCGUGAGGUGUUGGGUUAAGUCCCGCAACGAGCGCAACCCCUACACUUAGUUACCAGCACGAAAGGUGGGGACUCUAAGAGGACUGCCGGCGACGAGCCGGAGGAAGGAGGGGAUGACGUCAGAUACUCGUGCCCCUUAUACCCUGGGCGACACACGCGCUACAAUGGGAUGGACAGCGGGAUGCGAGGUAGCAAUACUGAGCAAAACCCUUAAACCAUUCCGCAGUUCAGAUUGUGGGCUGCAACCCGCCCACAUGAAGUCGGAAUUGCUAGUAAUCGCGGAUCAGCCACGCCGCGGUGAAUACGUUCCCGGGCCUUGUACACACCGCCCGUCAAGCCAACCGAGUUGCGGGCGCCCGAAGACGCGUACUCUUAGGGGGCGUGUUGAGGGUGAACGUGGUGAGGGGGGCUAAGUCGUAACAAGGUAGGUGUACCGGAAGGUGCGCCUG